UACGUAGGCAGCAAGCGUUGUUCGGAGUUACUGGGCGUAAAGGGCGUGUAGGCGGUCAGGUAAGUGAGAUGUGAAAUGCCCCGGCUCACCCGGGGACCGGCAUCUCAUACUGCUUGGCUUGAGUACGGGAGAGGAUGUGGGAAUUCCUGGUGUAGCGGUGAAAUGCGUAGAUAUCAGGAGGAACACCGGUGGCGAAGGCGCACAUCUGGCCCGAUACUGACGCUGAGGCGCGAAAGCUAGGGGAGCAAACGGG
rnacentral:rRNA from 1 species